CCUACGGGAGGCAGCAGUGAGGAAUAUUGGUCAAUGGACGAGAGUCUGAACCAGCCAAGUAGCGUGAAGGAUGACUGCCCUAUGGGUUGUAAACUUCUUUUAUAUGGGAAUAAAAUGUUCCACGUGUGGGAUUUUGUAUGUACCAUAUGAAUAAGGAUCGGCUAACUCCGUGCCAUCAGCCGCGGUAAUACGGAGGAUCCGAGCGUUAUCCGGAUUUAUUGGGUUUAAAGGGAGCGUAGGUGGAUUGUUAAGUCAGUUGUGAAAGUUUGCGGUUCAACCGUAAAAUUGCAGUUGAAACUGGCAGUCUUGAGUACAGUAGAGGUGGGCGGAAUUCGUGGUGUAGCGGUGAAAUGCUUAGAUAUCACGAAGAACUCCGAUUGCGAAGGCAGCUCACUGGACUGCAACUGACACUGAGGCUCGAAAGUGUGGGUAUCAAACAGGAUUAGAUACCCCAGUAGUC
rnacentral:rRNA from 1 species